rnacentral:rRNA from 1 species
AGCGAACGCUGGCGGCAGGCCUAACACAUGCAAGUCGAACGAACCUUUCUGUUUUAGUGGCGGACGGGUGAGUUACCCCUUGGAACGUUCCUUUUGGUUCGGAAUCACUCAGUGAAACUUGUUCUUAUUCCGACUUUGCCCUUCGGGCGAAAGAUUAAUCGCCUUUAGAGCGGCCCGCGUCUGUUUUGCUCGUGGUUUUAGGUAAUGGCCCACCAAAGCGACGAAGCGUAGCCUGUUUGAGAGGAUGAUCAGACACAGUGGGACUGAGACACGGCCCAAACUCAUACGAGAGAGAGGAGUGGGAAAUCUUGCGCAAUGGGAGAAAGCCUGACGCAGCCAUGGCGCGGGAAUAAUGAAGGUAUGAGGAGUGUAAAAUUCUUUCACCAGAGAAGAUAAUGACGGUACCCGGAGAAGAAGCCCCGGCUAACUUCGUG